rnacentral:rRNA from 1 species
GGGCAAUCUGCCCUUCACUCUGGGACAAGCCCUGGAAACGGGGUCUAAUACCGGAUAACACUCUGUCCCGCAUGGGACGGGGUUAAAAGCUCCGGCGGUGAAGGAUGAGCCCGCGGCCUAUCAGCUUGUUGGUGGGGUGAUGGCCUACCAAGGCGACGACGGGUAGCCGGCCUGAGAGGGCGACCGGCCACACUGGGACUGAGACACGGCCCAGACUCCUACGGGAGGCAGCAGUGGGGAAUAUUGCACAAUGGGCGAAAGCCUGAUGCAGCGACGCCGCGUGAGGGAUGACGGCCUUCGGGUUGUAAACCUCUUUCAGCAGGGAAGAAGCGAGAGUGACGGUACCUGCAGAAGAAGCGCCGGCUAACUACGUGCCAGCAGCCGCGGUAA